rnacentral:rRNA from 1 species
UACAGAGGGUGCAAGCGUUAAUCGGAAUUACUGGGCGUAAAGCGUGCGUAGACGGUUAUGUAAGUCAGGUGUGAAAGCCCAGGGCUCAACCUUGGAAUUGCAUUUGAGACUGCAUAGCUAGGGUGCGGAAGAGGGAAGCGGAAUUUCCGGUGUAGCGGUGAAAUGCGUAGAUAUCGGAAGGAACACCAGUGGCGAAAGCGGCUUCCUGGGCCAGCACCGACGUUCAGGCACGAAAGCGUGGGGAGCAAACAGG